rnacentral:rRNA from 1 species
UUCCAGACUCCUACGGGAGGCAGCAGUGGGGGAUAUUGCACAAUGGGGGAAACCCUGAUGCAGCGACGCCGCGUGUGGGAAGACGGUCCUCUGGAUUGUAAACCACUGUCCCCAGGGACGAAGAUGACGGUACCUGAGUAAGAAGCACCGGCUAAAUACGUGCCAGCAGCCGCGGUAAUACGUAUGGUGCAAGCGUUAUCCGGAUUUACUGGGUGUAAAGGGAGCGCAGGCGGCACGGCAAGCCUGAUGUGAAAGCCCGCGGCCCAACCGCGGGACUGCAUUGGGAACUACCGGGCUGGAGUGCCGGAGAGGUAGGCGGAAUUCCUAGUGUAGCGGUGAAAUGCGUAGAUAUUAGGAGGAACACCAGUGGCGAAGGCGGCCUACUGGACGGUGACUGACGCUGAGGCUCGAAAGCGUGGGUAGCGAACGGGAUUAGAUACCCCUGUAGC